rnacentral:pre_miRNA from 1 species
AGCCUUCUGUAUCCGUGCUGAGAUUUCGUCACACACCAGACCACAAGGGCUGAUGAGGCUCCCAAAUUGGGUGAAACA